UACAAUCGGACUGAAUCGGUUGUAACUGCUGCGGGCUCACAGGUCUCUAAACCUCCGCCCGCCAGUUACAGACAUUUUUUUUUUCUCUUUCAAUUCCCCUUCUGAGUAGGCUGAAGGCCCAAGAGAGGACUGCCCCCGCUGCCUCUCAUGACUGGUCCUGAAGCCUGCCUCCAGGAUGAAGAUUUUCAACUUGGACAAGAAAGCGCAGUCUACAUCUCUCUCCUUCAUCACCCCACGGACUUAUUUAGGAGCCCCGGAGCCCGACUCCAACGCAGGAUACCUGAUCCAGGAAAAGCAUCUCGGGAAGCUCCACAAAGCUGUCUCGAUCGGGGACAUGGCGAAAGAGCAGCAACUGCUGCUCGGAAAGCACAGCGUGAAGGAUCUGUAUAAAAUAAUGAGGAAAAAGUACAGAUGACAUCAGAUGCUCUUGAGGAACUCAAUCAUCUGACACAGAAUACCAGCAUUAAACAGAAACCAAAGAUGUGUUUAUAUUCAAGAAGAUACCACUGAAGUCCUAUUCCCCAUUGACCCAUAGUAGAAUAGAGGUGACUGGGUUCUUGGAGGCUCUGAUAAUAGAGUGUAAUCUCUGGCAAACCUCACCAAGCUAAAAGGAUUGUGUUCGAUUCAGGCUGAUGAUUUUUCAGUCAUAGAAGUUCUCAAGUUUGAUCUACCAUUUGUUUCAGUGCAGAAAUAAAUACCUACAAUGAGCCAAACAAAUUUGAGAUAAGACACAAUCCCUGAGCCAAGAUGGCAGAGUGAAGCCAGGAAUUUGGUCCAGAACCCACAUGAAACCAAACCUCUAAACAAAGUCUAAUCAAAUGAAACUACUCUCCAACUCAAGAUAGAUUGGAAAAACUAAAGAAAAGUCAGUUUCACUGGAGGGAAAAGGAUAUUCAGUCCAGCUCAGGCAGAGUCAGGAAAAGACAGUGAGAAAGUCUUAAUCACAACAGAUCAGCAAGUGAGAGCCUCAGUCCUGGCUAAGUAGAACAGUGGGGGUAACCCCUAGUCCCAGCUCAGAAGACAAAUUCUGGGAAAUCAUACUUUUCCUGAAGAGAGAAAGAAAAGCUACCCCCUGCAAACACAGGGAGUUCCUGUGCUUAAACCCAAGAUUUAGAAAUGCACAAGAAACUUAGAAAAGUGCCACCUUUAGGAACAGAGCUCAACCGUAUAAGAAAAAAAAGAAAAUGAAAAAAGAAGAGGAAAGAAAAUGAGCAUGAAACAUAAAAGGAGUUUGACCAUAGAAAGCUACUAUGGUGACCAAGAAGACCAAAGCAACAACUCAAUAAAGGACAUGAAAAGAGUGAUAUUAAUUGGGCUCAAGCUCAAAGAAACUUCUUGAUCUCAUGUUCAUAAAAAGGCAAAUAAGAGAGAUAGAAUAAAAAUGUGAAAAUAUAUAAGAGAUACAAAAGAGAGUCAACAGUUUGAAAAAGGCAAUUCCUUUAAAUAAAAUUGGCCAUAUUAAAAAAAAAUAAAAGGAAAAAAUUCUGAAAAGUAGAAUUAACCAGAUGGGAAAAAGAGAUAAAAGCUAAUUAAAGAAAAAUCACACACUUAAAAGCUAGAAUGGGGCAAAUGAAAGGUAAUGAUUUUAGGAAUCAGUCAAACUAAAAAGAAUGAAAAAAAAAUGAAAGAAAAUGUAAAAUACUUUGCAAAGAGACAAUUUAAAAACUAUUGGUCUACCAGAAGGCCAUGAUAAAAAAGAGCAUGGAUAGCACUAUUCUAGAAAUGAUUAAGGAAAACUAUCCUGAUUCUCUAGAAAUGGGGAGAAUUCUACUAAAGAAUCCAUCAAUGACCUAUGGAAAGAGAUCCCACAAGAAAAAUCCCAAGGAUUCCAGAAGUAUAGUCACAAGGAAAAAAUAAUGCAAACUGCCAGACAAAUACAAUUUAAGUAGCAAAGAGCAACAGUCAGGAUUAUCCAGGAUCUAGCAGUGUCUACAAUAAAGGAUCAGAGGGCCUGGAAUACCAUAUUCCACAAGGCAAAGAACCUGGGGCUACAAGCAAGAAUUGACUACUCAGUAAGACUUGAGUAUCAUCUUUCAGGGGAGAUGAUGGUUUUUCAAAGAAGAGACUUUCUAUUGAAAUAAUUUCUAUUGAAAAAAGCAGAACUAAACAGUAUUUAAUAUAAAAAAUAUAGGACUCAAGAGAAGCCUAGAAAGAUAAACAGAAAAAAUACAUUUAAAUUUUAUCCCUAGAUGGGAAAGUGAUAUUUGUAAGUCUUGAGAACUGUAUUAUUGAGGCAGUGAGAGGUGAGGGAUCAUAUGGACUCUUUGUCUAGGUGUAGUUUUGAAUGGACUCUGAUAUAGUAUUAAAAGAAAAAAAGGGAUGGGAAAAGGAUUACUGAGAGAAGAGGACUAGGGAGGUAAAAUGGGACAAAUUAGAUCACAUGAAGAGGCACAAAAGAUCUAUAAACAAUCAAGGGAAACAAGGGGGUUAAGCAUAUUCUGAGAGUAUAUCUUACCAGUUUGGUUCAAAGAGGGAAUAAUUUAAUAAUUUAAAUCAUUUUUUCAGUUGAAUAUAGAAAUUGAUUUUACCCUAUUAAGUAGAAGAAAGAGAAAGAAGAAAGAAAAAAAGAGGGACUUGACAAAAGGGAGGGCAGAAACACUGGGGAAAAAGUGGUAAGAGACGGGAGACAGGUGAUAGAAGGUAGAGCAAGUAAUGGGUGGGGUGGAUUAAUAAAACACUACAACAGAUGGAGAGAACAAAAAGUAUAUACAAGGGAUAGAAGGAAAUACAGAGCUGAUAAUAACAAUGAAUGUGAAUGGGAUGAACUCUUAAAAUAAAAUAGAAGUGAAUAGCAGAGCAGAUUAAAAAACAAAAUCCUACAAUAUGUAGUUUACAAGAAUCACAUUUGACACAGAGAUACAUACAGAGUAAAAUGGAGCAAAAGUUAUGCUUCAACUGGAGUAAUAAAAACAUUCUGAUCUCAGAUAAAGCAAAAGUAAAUGUCUUAAUUAAAAGAGAUAAGGAAAGUACAUCUUGUUAAAGGAUACUAUAAACAAUGAAGUAGUAACAAUACUAAAUGUAUAUGCACCAAAAUUCUAGAGCACUCCAAUUCUUAGAGAAGAUAUUAAGCCAGUUACAAAAAUAGACUGAAAAACUAUUCUAGUGAGGGACCUCAACUUUCCCUCACAGAAUCAGACAAAUCUAACCACAAAGUAAACAAAUCAGGGAAGUUAAUAGAAUCUUAGAAAACCUAUAUGAUAGACCCCUGGAGAAAAUUUAAUAGGGACAUAAAGGAAUAGAUUUUUUUUUUUUCUUGGCAACAUACAGCACCUACAAAAAAAUUUGACCAUUAAAAAAAAAAAGUUACAAUCAAAUGCAGAAAGGAAGAAAUGAUAAAUGCUUCCUUUUCAGACCAUAAUAUAAUAAAAAUUAUAUCCAAUAAAAGGCCAGGAAAAGAUAGACUAAAAACCAAUUGGAAAUUAAAUAAUCUAAUUCUAAAUAGUGGAUUAAACAAUUCACAAAAGCAAUUCAUAAUUUAAUCCAAGAGAAUGACGAGACAAUGUAACAAAACCUAUGGGAUAUAGCCACAGCAAUUCUUACAGGAAAUCUUAUAUAUCUAAACAGUUAACAUGAAUAAAAUAAAAGGAUCAAUGACUUGGGCAUGCAACUAAAAAAGGCUAGAAAAAGAAAUUUAAAACCUCCCUUUAAAUACCAAAUUAGAAAUUCUGAAAUUCAAAGGAGAGAAUAAUAAAAUUUAAAGAAAACUAUUGAAUUAAACUGUUGGUUUUAAGAAAAAAUCAACAAAAUAGAUGAACCUUUGGUUAAUUUGGUUAGAAAAAUGAAAGAAGAAAACCAAAUUAUCAGCAUCAAAAAUGAAGAGUAUUUACCACUAAUGAAAAAGAAAUUAAAGGAUUAGGAACCCAAAUGUAUGCCAGCAAGUCUGACAAUCUUAACAGAAAUAGAUGAAUAUUUACAAUAGUAUAAAUUGCUCAGAUUAAAUUUAAAAUUAAAUUCCUUAAACAGUCAAUACCAUUUUAGAAAAAGAAAUUGAACAAGUCAUCAACUCUAAGAAAAAAAUCUCCACAGUCAGAUGGACACAAGUAAAUUCUAUCAAAUAUUUAAAGAAAAAUUCUAAUACUAUGUAAACUAUUUUAGGAAAAAAGGCAAAGAAGUUCUGUCAAAUUCCUUCAAUGACACAAAUAUGGAAAUAACCUAAACCAGGAAGUCAAAAAGAAAAUUAUAGAUCUCCCUAGUUGAAUAUAAUAUUUUAAAUAAAAUAUUAGCAAAGAGAUUGUACUAAAUAUCAGCAGGAUAAUACAUUAUGAUCAAGUGGGAUUUAUACCAGGAAUGCAGGAUGGGUUCAAUAUCGGGAAAACUAUAGCCGUAUUUAAUCAUAUCAAUAACAAAACCAACAGAAAUCAUAUGAUAGUUUCAGUAGACGCUUUUGACAAAAUAUAGCACUUAUUCCUAUUAAAAACAUAGAAUUGGGAUAAAGGGAAUUUUCCCAAAAAUAUAAGUAUCUAUCUAAAACCAACAACAAGCAUCAUUUGGAAUGGAGAGAACCUGGACACAUCCCCACUAUGGGAUCAGUGGGGAAACAAGGAUGCCUAUUAUCACCACUAUGAUUUAAUAUUGUACUAAAAGCAUUGGCUUUAGCAGUAAGAAAAGAAAAAUGAAAAUUAGAAUAAGCAAUGAGGAGACUGCAGAUCUUUGCAAAUGACAUGAUAUACUAGAAUCUUAGAAAAUCAUCCAAAAACCUCCUCGAAACAACAGCUUUAGCAAAGUUGCAGAAUAUAAAAUAAACCUGCACAAAUUAUCAGCAUUUCUGUAUAUUAACUGACAAAUUCUAGCAGCAAGAGAUACAUUCUAUUUAAAGUAACUGUAGACAAAAUAAUUGAGAGGGUUAUGGGUAAAGUAUAAGAGGUCAGUUAAUUUGGUAAUUGGGAGAUUCCUAGUAACUUUGGAGGAGCAGUUGCAUUGAAUAAUAAGUUUUGAAGUCAGGUUAGAGGGGCUUAAACUGAGAUUGAGACGAGAAGCAGAGCUGAAGAGCAUAGAUGGCUUUUCCCCUGACUUGAGAAAGGAAUGAAAAAACAGGUGACAAGCUGUGGAAGUAGAUCAAUGAGGGCUUUUAAAAGAUGGGGCAACAUGGGGUGUUUGCAAAAAUGGAAUAUAGAUAAGGAAAGACUUAAGUUUGGAAAGCGUGGAAAUGAUAGAUAGAAGGUAAAAUCAUCUGAAGAAAAGCAGAUGAAAAGUGAUUGUUGUAAAGUGAUAGUUCUUGGCAAGGAGAAGGACUUGCCUUUUCAUCCAGAAUAGAAAAGUAGAUAGUGGAAGAAGAUGUCUGAGUAAUGUGAGAAAAAAUUAGAGAAAAGGAAACUUUUAGUAAAUAACCUGUCAAUGAAGAUAUGUUCAUCAGCAGAGAGGGUAAGUGUAGGGGAUACUAUAGAAUACUUGGGAAGAAAAAAGAAAGUUCAUUACAACUGGCUAUGAUAAUGAACAAGGUAGGAUGCCUUGCCUCUAAGGAUUCUUUAUCCUUCAGGACAGUCACAAGUUUGUGAUCUCAUUAGAAAUUUAGCAACAAUUUCUAAAAUCUCUGUGAUCCUGGAUCUUAGCAUCUUUGGGCUCCGUUUUCUGGAGCUAAAAUAUUUUAGUACCUUUAAAAUCACUUGGGAUAUAUCAAAUACAUAAUUACAUGCAAAGCAGACAUUUUGUGUAUAGACAUGAGCAACUUCUUCUGACCACAUGUGUAACUAUUACUCCUAUUUCUCUUUGUGAACCUAGUUCCUGAUGAAUCUGUUCUUUUGUAAAUCUUUCUGCCUGUGUAUCUUAAGUAGGGUGAUUUUAUAGACUUGUAACACUAGUUAUCCUAGUGUCUGCUGCUUACAAACAAAAUGUCUUUCAUUUUAGCCUUCCCCUAGAGUUUUCUAGUACUUUUAAGGAGAUUUGUAGGAAGUUUCUAGACUCUUUGCAAAUGGCUUUGGUCCCCACAGAUGGUAUUCCCUCCAUUGUAUAGACAAGUUUCCCGUACUUUGUUUUGAUUUGGUUAUAAAUAUUUGGAUCAACUUUUACAAAGAAAUAUUUACUUCAAAAUCUAUAACAAAAAAAAUCAAAUUUACUCCAUAACAUGUGGGUAGCCUAAUCUUUCAUACCACCUCAGACUCUUGUAAAGGGAAAAAGAUUAGGUUAAUUAUUUAGCUAAUUUCCUAUAAGGCACAGUUCCAAGUUCAAAUAUCAACCUCACAUUAGAUUUGAGUGCCAGGCAUCUGGUUUCUUGGGCUUCUCUAUUGGGAUGGCUGACUGGCUGCAAUAUCCCAUCAUGGCUUAAACUCCUAGCUCUAUUGGGGAUUCUAUCACUUCUGCCUAAAAACUGAUAAGGCCAAAUAAAACAGAAGAGAAACAAACAACCCAGCCCAUUUCUCAGAGCCAUAGAGUAAAAAGAGAAAGAGGGGUGUGUCCUCAGCGUAUAGUGCCCACAUUUGGGUGAACUAUGUAUAAUGUUCUCCCUUUUGUGAGUAUUGUUUUUUAAAGGGAUAUCCUCUUCCAGCUUUGCAGCCAAACAUAGAGGUACAAUGCCCCCCAAAUUCACCUACUAUCUUCCACUUAAUGAAUUUCUGAUACCAUGUUUGGCAGCCUGGCAUAUUCCAAUCUCUAUUAUCAGUAUUUCUAGGCCUUAUGAAUUGUUUUUAUACUUAAUGAUUGUAAUAGUUGAAAUUC